rnacentral:rRNA from 1 species
CACAAGCGGCGGAGCAUGCGAUAAUUCGAUGCAACGCGAAGAACCUUACCUGGUCUUGACAUCCACGGAAGUUUCAGAGAUGAGAAUGUGCCUUCGGGAGCCGUAACACAGGUGCUGCAUGGCUGCCGUCAGCUCGUGUCGUGAGAUGUUGGGUUAAGUCCCGCAACGAGCGCAACCCUUGUCAUUAGUUGCUACAUUCAGUUGGGCACUCUAAUGAGACUGCCGGUGACAAGCCGGAGGAAGGUGGGGAUGACGUCAAGUCCUCAUGGCCCUUAUAGGUGGGGCUACACACGUCAUACAAUGGCUGGUACAAAGGGUUGCCAACCCGCGAGGGGGAGCCAAUCCCAUAAAGCCAGUCGUAGUCCGGAUCGUAGUCUGCAACUCGACUACGUGAAGUCGGAAUCGCUAGUAAUCGUGGAUCAGAAUGUCACGGUGAAUACGUUCCCGGGUCUU